AUGUAUACAAGAGCUCGAGGCAGAGAUGGCGGAGCUCGGGCGAGCUCGAGACUAUGGAUCCAGGGCUUGAGUGCUCACGGGAUGGAGGUGCUCAGGAUGGAGGCAGGGGAUGGCGCCCUGCGGGUGUUUAAAGAUUUACUUUGUUCCAGCGACUACUUUGGAUCACAGGAAACUAAAAAAAAAGAGGGCGCCGCCACCACCAUCAUCAGGCUGGCCCACAUCCACGCGCUGCUCGGCGUCACCAAGUCACCGGCACAACUCCUCACGCCCAGGUCGUUCAACAUUUUCUUCCGCUUUUGGUGCGUCACAUUUAGAGUCUUUCUUUCCCAUUUUACCGUGUUUGCAUGGUAA
rnacentral:rRNA from 1 species